UCGCCGAGAAGACGUUGAGCUUGUCGUUCUCCCUCCGACCCUCCUCUCUCCGCCUCUUCCUCCUCAUGGAAACCCUAACCCUAACCCUAAUCCCACGAAUCCCUUCUCUCUCUCAUCUCCUCCUUUCUCGUCCUCUUCGUCGACGAUUCCCUUCCCGGCUUUGUCUCUCUUCGAGCUCGGCCAUGAGAGCUCAAUCCACGGUAGCUGGAUUCGGCGAUCCCUCUUUCGCAUCCGAUUACAAGGCUCAACCGAUCAAGGGGGAAGGUAUUGAGGAAGCAUUGAUUGGGUUUAUCACAGGCAAGAGAAAGGCGACAGAGGUAGCUCACUCUGUGUGGAGAAGUAUCGUGCAAAAAGGUGAUACGGUGGUUGAUGCCACAUGUGGCAAUGGGUAUGAUACAUUGGCAUUGCUCAAAAUGGUUGCCGAUGAAUCAGGGCAAGGUUGUGUUUAUGGGAUGGACAUUCAGGAUUCUGCUAUAGAGAGCACUUCAUCCAUGCUAGAAAACUCUGUUAAUUUCCAUGAGAGGAAGUUAGUUAAGUUAUUUUCAAUUUGUCAUAGCAAGAUGGAGGAUAUUGUACCAAAAGAUGUCCCCAUAAGGCUUGUGGCUUUCAACCUGGGUUAUCUUCCUGGAGGAGACAAAACUAUAAUCACUGAAUCACGAACCACGGAAAUGGCCUUGCAUGCUGCGUCUAAAAUACUAAGGUCUCAUGGACUUAUCAGCAUAAUGGUCUAUGUGGGGCAUCCCGGUGGAAGGGAAGAAUUUGAAACAGUUCAAUCAUUUGCAUCAAUCUUGCCUGCUGAAACCUGGGUAACCUGCAAGUUUGAAAUGAUUAACCGGCCUGCAGCUCCUGUCCUUGUUCUCUUGUACAAGAAAUAAUCGACAUGAAUAAGAUCGGCUUCGGGUUAAAUCAAACUUUCUGGAACUUAAGCAGGGUCAGGCACUGAAGGGAGAUUGAUUAACAUUACUGUGUGUUGAUACGGAGACUAUCUAUAAUAGUUUUACCAGUGAAUAGAUAUCGAGGAUCGGCUGCUCCGGCGCAUCAUAUCACCGGGCGGUGACCAUAGACAAAAUAAAACAACAGCCAGCCCUCCCCGGCCCGCAGUAAGUAAAUGUAACAAAUAAAUAAGUGAACCCUCGCUUGAUCUUUCUCCUCCCUCUCCCCCAGAAGAAGCUAGAGUCUUAAUUAAUUAAUUUGCCUUUUUAAGAAGAAGAAGAAGAACAAGAAGAAG